CCAAUYCMAAGAMCUCGGUGAAAGAUGCCUCCCGACCAUUAGCUAGUUGGUGAGGUAAAGGCUCMCCCAGGCGACGAUGGGUAACCGCCCUGAGAGGUUGAACGUUCACACUGGAACUGAGACACGGUCCAGACUCCUACGGGAGGCAGCAGUGGGGAAUAUUGCACAAUGGAGGAAACUCUGAUGCAGCGACSCCGCGUGAGUGAUGAAGGUCUUCGGAUCGUAAAACUYUGUCCUAGGGGAAGAUAGUGACGGUACCUUAGGAGGAAGCCCCGGCUAACUACGUGCCAGCAGCCGCGGUAAUACGUAGGGGGCAAGCGUUAUCCGGAAUUAUUGGGCGUAAAGGGUUCGCAGGCGGUUAUCCAAGUCAGGUGUGAAAUCCCGAGGCUUAACCUCGGUAAGCAUUUGAAACUGGAUAGCUUGAGUUAAGGAGAGGAAAGCGGAAUUCCUAGUGUAGCGGUGAAAUGCGUAGAUAUUAGGAGGAAUACCAGUAGCGAAGGCGACUUUCUGGCCUUAAACUGACGCUGAGGAACGAAAGCGUGGGUAGCAAACAGGAUUAGAUACCCUGGUAGUCCACGCCGUAAACGAUGAGUGCUAGGUGUUGGGAGUCAAAUUUCAGUGCCGCCGCAAACGCAUUAAGCACUCCGCCUGGGGAGUACGUGCACAAGCAUGAAACUCAAAGGAAUUGACGGGGGCCCGCACAAGCAGCGGAGCAUGUGGUUUAAUUCGAAGCAACGCGAAGGAACCUUACCAGGGCUUGGAMAUCUWCUUGGCUUAGCUUAGAGAUAAGCUWUUUUCUUCCGGAAACGGGUAGAMAGGUGGUGCAUGGUKGUCGUCAGCUCGUG
rnacentral:rRNA from 1 species